rnacentral:rRNA from 1 species
GACUCUCGGCAACGGAUAUAUCAGCUCUCGCAUCGAUGAAGAACGUAGCGAAAUGCGAUACUUGGUGUGAAUUGCAGAAUCCCGUGAACCAUCGAGUCUUUGAACGCAAGUUGCGCCCGAGGCCUCCUAGUCGAGGGCACGUCUACCUAGGUGUCA